UACGGAGGGUGCACGCGUUGUUCGGAAUUACUGGGCGUAAAGCGCGUGUAGGCGGCUUGGCAAGUCGGGUGUGAAAUCCCGGGGCUCAACCCCGGAACUGCAUUCGAAACUGCCUGGCUGGAGUCCCGGAGAGGGUGGUGGAAUUCCCAGUGUAGAGGUGAAAUUCGUAGAUAUUGGGAGGAACACCAGUGGCGAAGGCGGCCACCUGGACGGUGAAUGACUCUGAGACGCGAAAGCGUGGGGAGCAAACAGG
rnacentral:rRNA from 1 species